GGUUAUAUGCAAGGUAAAGAAGUCGUCUUAAAUAGAAGGGAGAUUGCAUUGAUACCAUGUUAAUACUAAGCAAGGUGUCACAAGAGACAAGGACCGUCUGACAGAACAUUUUCUAGUUUUCUCUAAGUACAAAAAGGAAAUAGUACAUCACAUAAGAUGUCACGAUACAGUAACCACAUUCAUGCCCUCUGCUUUGCCAUCACAAUGUCCUUGACUAUUUUGGCGAUAUCUGGAUCACGUGACUAUUCCGAAUCAGAUUUCAUUUCCACCAUCCAAGACGGUGAGCUUAAAGCACUAAAUCGGUUAUUAAAAGCCGAGGUAUGGAGAAGGAAAUUGAAAGAUUUCUCUUCAGAAAGUGACCAUAUAGAUCUCUCUGAAGAAUAUUUGAACGAAUUGUCCUCUCAAAAGCAAAGAAGAGAAUAUCCGCCUUCAUUAAUGACUCUUAGAAAGAGGAAAGUGUUUUGGCAGCCCAUGCCUUUUGUACCGCAUGAUUACAGGCAGAGUUCACGGGAUAAAGACGAGGGGACAAAUCAUGAAACCCCAAACAGUGGUUCAUUAUUACGAUAUGGUUAAUUCUGAAUUACCCCAAGAACGAAUUUUACGCGAAUCAUUUCGUAGAUAUUCCAGUUUUCCUUUGCAGCUUGUGGAGGUCCUUUCUUAUAAAACUGUCCUUUCAUAUAAAACUCAAGUAACAAAUUUUCGCCAUAUGUCUUUUUUAAAUCAUUACAAAAUAUGUCGAAAGUCUAUUCUUAUAUAAACUAACAAAAAAUUGUAUUCUGUAUUUCAUGAAUAAAUUAUACUUUCGCCU